UACGGAGGGUGCAAGCGUUAUCCGGAUUCACUGGGUUUAAAGGGUGCGUAGGAGGGCAGGGAAGUCAGUGGUGAAAUCUCCGGGCUUAACUCGGAAACUGCCGUUGAUACUCUCUGUCUUGAAUACCGUGGAGGUGAGCGGAAUAUGUCAUGUAGCGGUGAAAUGCUUAGAUAUGACAUAGAACACCAAUUGCGAAGGCAGCUUACUACACGAUCAUUGACACUGAGGCACGAAAGCGUGGGGAGCAAACAGG
rnacentral:rRNA from 1 species